rnacentral:rRNA from 1 species
GACGAACGCUGGCGGCGUGCCUAACACAUGCAAGUCGAGCGAAGAACUUCGGUUUUUAGCGGCGGACGGGUGAGUAACACGUGGGUAACCUGCCUCAAAGGGGGGGAUAGCCUCCCGAAAGGGAGAUUAAUACCGCAUAAUAUCAGGAUCUCGCAUGGGAACUUGAUUAAAGGAGCAAUCCGCUUUGAGAUGGACCCGCGGCGCAUUAGCUAGUUGGUGAGGUAACGGCUCACCAAGGCGACGAUGCGUAGCCGACCUGAGAGGGUGAUCGGCCACAUUGGAACUGAGACACGGUCCAGACUCCUACGGGAGGCAGCAGUGGGGAAUAUUGCACAAUGGGCGAAAGCCUGAUGCAGCAACGCCGCGUGAGUGAUGGAGGCCUUCGGGUUGUAAAACUCUGCCUUUGGGGACGAUAAUGACGGUACCCAAGGAGGAAGCCACGGCUAACUACGUGCCAGCCGCCGCGGUAA